UACGUAGGGGGCAAGCGUUGUCCGGAUUUACUGGGUGUAAAGGGCGCGCAGGCGGAUUGACAAGUCAGAGGUGAAAUCCUGCAGCUUAACUGCAGAACUGCCUUUGAAACUGUUAAUCUUGAGUACGGAAGAGAGAGACGGAAUUCCAGGUGUAGUGGUGAAAUACGUAGAUAUCUGGAAGAACACCAGUUGCGAAGGCGGUCUCUUGGUCCGUUACUGACGCUCAGGCGCGAAAGCGUGGGUAGCAAACAGG
rnacentral:rRNA from 1 species